GCAAUUUAAUAUUACCAGAUGAUAUGAUACAAUGCAGAAGGACUCUUAUUAUAAGAAAUAUACCCUACUUUUAAAUGAAUAUAGUGAAGUUCUGAAAUAUAAUAAAGAUUUGAUUAUAAAAAUUUCAAACAUGAAUGCUGUUUUAAAAUCUCUUCAAUCUAAAAAAGAAUUAUUCAUGCAAAAACUUGACCAAUACAAUGAUCCAUAUAGAAAUAUUUCAAAUUCUAUUAACUUAAAAGACAAUUUUCAAUCUAGCAUCUAUUUGUUAAAUAAACAAUUAAUGACUGAUGAAUUGUCAAAUAAAUCAAGCAUUUUACAAAAAGGUAAGAUAACCCUUUCUGAAGAAAAUCUUACAUUGAUGCCUAGUGAUUUAAUUUUAAAAAAUAAAAUAGUAGCACAACCAAAUUUUGCAACAAUUUUAAAUUCUUCUAUAUCAAGUUGUAAUAAUAAUUUUUCAAGCCCUAUUCAAAAUAUCAAAAUUGAUAAUGCACACUCUAAAAAUAUAUCUCAAAUAAUAAUAAAUAAUAAUAAAAGCAUGAACAUCAAUAAACUCAAUUCAUUACCACCUCAUAUUCGGCAACUUUUAAUUAUUCAAUAUCCAAAACAUACAAAUAAAAACGAUGGCAGUGUUAAUUAAUUAUAUUUCAGUCCCUUAUAUUCAAUUUAUAUUUUCAUAUAAAUAAAAUUUUGCUUUCAAAACAUACUAGUAAUUUACUUUAAAUUCUUGCAUCAUUACAUAUGUUUAAUUUAAUGUUUAAGCGUAAAAGAAAAUAUUUUUUAAUUUCAAAUAUAUUGAGGAAAUCCUUUUUAUUGGUUUGACUAAAUUUUACUUUUUUAUAAUUUCAUAUCAAAUAUUAAAAAAAUAAAUAAUGUAAGGUUCUAAAAAAUGCUUAGAUAAUUAUAUUACCUUACCUUUUACCAAUUUUUAGGGAGUGGGGCUUUACAUCAUAUGACACCUGAUUCUAAUUUUUAUCGACUUGGUUCAAAAUGGCAAUCAAAAUAUGUAGCUAUAAAACAAUCAUUCACUAAGGGUGAUUUUAAAUUUUGAAAUAUUCUGAUUAAACUAGAAAUGUAUUCCAAAUUUCACAAUCUUGCUUGGAGUCAGCAUCUAUAUGAUAGAAUAUUCAUUAGGCAAACCACCUCAAAAAUCUUUAUCUACUCCCCAUACAUUAUGAAUUGCAAGAUUUUAAUGAUAAUAGUACUCUCUUCAUAUAUUUAAAAAAAUACUU